AAAGGUUAGCCUUGACACACAACCCAACCCAACAAACACACACAAACCAGAGACACCCCCUCCGCCAUCCUGAAUACACCAACCAGCUUCCUAUCUGCACCAAGCAAUUCCAUACAAUUAAUCUGACAAAGCCAAAUGUAAUUGAUUGAUAAGGGGCACAACGGCCCACACUAACCUUCCCAGAGUGCAUUUGUCUGGGAGCGCAGACGGCCAGCGCAGAUGCCAUCAGGCCCAUCAACAGGGUGAGUGUUAUCAGCCGUGGGAUCGAACUGUAGUCUUCUUGGAGCAUCGCCAGCAUCACGCCGAGAGGGAGAGGGAGUGAAAGGGUGGCACUAAUGGGACAGCCCCGGACGCCGCAUCUCCACCGGGAUCAAACGGCAGAAAGCCCUGACGUGCUCCUUAAGGUCACCGCUGACUUUGCGUUUGUCCUCGUUUGAAAAGAACACCCUUUGACAAACCUGGGGAGCAAGAACGAAUCUGGAAAAAUCUACUUGUAUACCAACGCCGCUGAAAGAACAGUGGCACACUGCAUCUUGUGGACGCUGGCUUCCGAAUGACAACAGGACGGAGGCAAGGCCUCUUCUGCUGUACCAACCAGACCAGCCUGGUUUCACAUCUGGAAGUGUCUCGGUCCAUGACGGACAGCCCGCGGUGAGCGUUUACAGCUCAUGACAUGCUAGGGAUUAUCUGCUCAGGUUCUUUGGUUGGGUAAAGCCAGCUUGGCGUUUCUCAACAG